rnacentral:misc_RNA from 1 species
CGGGAGAGAAUCCAAUCUCAUCAAGCAAGACAUGAUAGUGUGUAGGCCUUGAAGUUCCAAUCAUGCUUGCAUGAGCACACAAGUAAAAAUCAUAGUUUCUAGGAUGCACAAUCUUUGUAUCUACGACGGUCCCAGAAGGAACAUUUUCAGGGCUAAUAUCUUGAAAUAGCUUAGUGUGGUGAUCCUUCUGAGCAACAAUUACUAUAAACUUGGGAACGUCUACCUCACUUUUAAAA